rnacentral:tRNA from 1 species
UCCCUGGUGGCUCAGAUGGUAAAGUGUCUGUCUGCAAUGCAGGAGACCCAGGUUCGAUCCCUGGGUCGGGAA